rnacentral:rRNA from 1 species
AACGAACGCUAGCGGACGCGUUUUAAGCAUGCAAGUCGAACGGGGAUAUUAGGAGCAAUUCUGGUAUUCCAGUGGCAAACGGGUGAGUAACACGUGGAUAAUCUGCCCUCAAGACCUGGAUAGCCCGCAGAAAUGCGGAUUAAUACGGGAUGUGGUGCCUGAUCAUGAGGAUUGGGCCAUUAAAGGUGGGGACCGCAAGGCCUGCCGCUUGGGGAGGAGUCCGCGGCCCAUUAGCUAGUUGGUGGGGUAAAGGCCUACCAAGGCGACGAUGGGUAGCCGGCCUGAGAGGGUGACCGGCCACAUUGGGACUGAGACACGGCCCAGACUCCUACGGGAGGCAGCAGUGAGGAAUCUUGCGCAAUGGGGGAAACCCUGACGCAGCAACGCCGCGUGAGUGAGGAAGGCCUUCGGGUCGUAAAGCUCUGUCAGAUGGGAAGAAAUGGAUGGGGGCUAAUAUCGCCCAUCCUUGACGGUACCAUCAGAGGAAGCACCGGCUAACUCCGUG